rnacentral:rRNA from 1 species
UACGAAGGGGGCUAGCGUUGCUCGGAAUUACUGGGCGUAAAGCGCACGUAGGCGGGUUCUUAAGUCAGGGGUGAAAUCCUGGAGCUCAACUCCAGAACUGCCUUUGAUACUGGGAAUCUCGAGUCCGGGAGAGGUGAGUGGAACUGCGAGUGUAGAGGUGAAAUUCGUAGAUAUUCGGAGGAACACCAGUGGCGAAGGCGACUUACUGGACACGUAUUGACGCUGAGGUGCGAAAGCGUGGGGAGCAAACAGG